UACGUAGGGCGCAAGCGUUUGUCCGGAAUUAUUGGGCGUAAAGAGCUCGUAGGCGGUUUGUCGCGUCUGCUGUGAAAUCCCGAGGCUCAACCUCGGGCUUGCAGUGGGGUACGGGGCAGACUAGAGUGCGGUAGGGGGAGACUGGAAUUCCUGGUGUAGCGGUGAAAUGCGCAGAUAUCAGGAGGGAACACCGGUGGGCGAAGGCGGGUCUCUGG
rnacentral:rRNA from 1 species